rnacentral:tRNA from 1 species
GCGCCUGUAGCGCAACGGAUAGCGCACUGGCCUCCGGAGCCAGUUGUGACAGUUCGAUUCUGUCCAGGCGCACGA